GUACAAUGUAGUAGUAGAAUAUUGAUUUGAAAUACAUCUACUUUUAUAUAUAGGCUUUUGUAGCUAACAAUUUUCCUCUAAGGACUGCUUUGGCUGCAUCCUACAAGUUUUGGUAUGUUGUGUUUUGUUUUUUUCAUCUUAAAGCAUUUUCUAAUUUUCCUUGUGAUUCUUCUCUGAUGCACUGGUUAUUUAGAAGAUUUUUUAAAAAUUUCACAUAUUUGUAAAUUUCUGAAAUUUCCUUCUUUGUUUAUUUCUAAUUUUAAUCAAUUGUGGUCAAAAACAUAUUUUCCAUGCUUUUAAGCCCUUUACAUUUAUUGAGGCUUUUAAAAUGCCCUAAUACAGGCACACCUUGAAGAAUGUUCUAUGUAAACUUGAAAAGAAUGCAUAUUCUGUUGUUGAAUGAGAGUUCUCUAAAUGUCUGUUAAGUGUAGUUGAUUUAUAUCGUUGCUCAAGUCUUCUAUAUGCUUGUUCUAUUUGUUUUCUUAUGCCUGGUUGUAGUACUGAUUAUUGAAAGCAAGUGUCUUAUUCUGUUCAGGCUGCUAUAACAAAAUGAGUUAGACUGAACAGUUUAUAAAUAUACAUUUACUUCUCAUAGUUCCAAAGGUGGAGAAGUUUAAUAUCAAGGCACUGGCAGAUUUGACAUCUGGUAAGGGCUCACUCUGUGCUCCAUAGAUGGUGGUGUGUGAUGAAUCCUCACAUGGAGAAAUAACUUUCUCUCACUUCUUUUCUAAAAGCCCCCACGUCUGAAUAUAUCUCUACAUUAAUAUUCACCACAUGAAUUUUUGAAGGACACAAACAUUCAAACCAUAAUAGUGGAUACUAAAGCCGUCUACUAUAAUUGUGUUGCCUGUUUCUUCCUUUAAUUCUGUCACUUUUUACUUUAUGCAUUUUAGUAUUCUGUUGUUUGGUAUAUUUAUGUUUCUAAUUGUUAUCUUUUAUUUAUAGAAUGAAUCUUUUAUCACCAUAAAUUAUGUUCUUUUGUCUCUACAAAGAUAUUUACCUUAAACUCUAUUUUUCUGAUAUUAAUAGUGCCAAUUUAAAUCUACUUUAAUUAUUGUUUCCAUGGCAUAUCUUUUUCAUCUUUUUACAUUCUUUUUUGUUUUGUUUUUUGAGAUGGGGUCUCACUGUGCCACCCAGGCUAGAGUACAGUGGCAUGAUCUCAGCUCACUGCAACCUCCACCUCUCAGGUUCCAGUGAUUCUCCUGUCUCAGCCUCCCGAGUAGCUGGGACUACAGGCAUGUGCCACCAUGCCCAGCUAAUUUUUUUUUUUUUUGUAUUUUUAGUAGAGAUGGGGUUUCACCAUGUUGGCCCAGUUGGUCUCGAAUUCUUUACCUCAAGUGAUCUGCCCUCCUUGGCCUCCCAAAGUGCUGGGAUUACAGGCAUGAGCCACCAUACCCAGCCCCAUCUUUUUAAUUUCAACCUAUUUGUUUCUCAGAAUUUAGAGUGUGUCUCUUGUGGACAGGAUAUGGUAACAUUGUUUUUUAUUUGUUUUGCUAAUCUCUGACUUCAUUAACAGAUUAGUAUACUUAAUCUAUUUAUAUUUAAUGUAGUUAUCUUUUUUUUCUUUUUGAGACAGAAUCUCACUACAUUGCCCAGGCUGGAGUGCGGUGGCACAAUCUCGACUUACUGCAAACUUCGCCUCUGGGGUUUAAGCGAUUCUUCUGCCUCAGCCUCCUGAUUAGCUGAAAUUACAAGCGUAUGCCACCACACCUGGCUAAUUUUUAUAUUUUUAGUAGAGUUGGGGUUUCACCAUGUUGUGCAGGCUGGUCUUGAACUGCUGGCCUCAAGUGAUCUGCCCACCCUGGCCUCCCAAAGUGUUGGAAUUAUAGGCAUGAACCACUGUGCCCAACCUAGUUAUCUAUUCUUUUAUUACUGCCUUGAGUUAGAUAUUUUCUAGUGUAGCAUUUUAAUUAUCUUGUUUCUUUUGAUAUAUUUUUUAAGUUAUUUUCUUACUGGUUAAUAUAGGAUUAAAAUUGGCUUUUUAGCUUAAAAUAAAGUAGUUUGGGUUAUACUAACUUAAGUAUAUAAAAAUUUUGUUCCAAAAUACAUCCAUUACCUCCACCCUCUUUUGUGCUAUUGUUGCCAUAUAAAUCAUAUUAAUUUUAUACAUGAUAUACAUAAUUUGUACAGUAUUAUAUCAUAUAUGAUAUAUAUGAAUUACAUAUAUAUUCACAAAUACACACACACAUAAAUACAGUGUAAUCCCAUCCGAAAGUUUUGUAAUUAUUGCUUCAUGCAAUUGUCUUUUAAUUAAAUAGGAGAAGAGCUAUAAACCAAAACACGUAGAUACUGUCUAUUAUGUUAAUCUCUUAUGUAAUCUAAUGGUAGUUACCUUUACCCAUGCUCUUUACUUCUUUACAUAAAUCUGAGUUACCAUCAAGUAACUCAAAUUCAGUUCAGCUCUUUCAAUUCAGCUGGAUUAACUUCUUUUAGCAUUUCUUAUAGCAAGUUUGUCAGUUUUUCUUUAAUCUGGUAAUGUCUUAAUAUCUUCCUUAUUUUUGAAAUAUAGUUUUGCUUUAUUUAGAAUCACUGGUGCUGACAGUCUUUUUCUUUCAAUAUUUUGUAUAUGUCAUUGAACUGCCUCCUUCUUGGUUUCUGAUAACAAGUUAGCUGUUGAUCUUAUUGAAAAUUAACUGUAUGUGAUGACUUCUUUCUUGCCACUUUAAAGAUUCCCUUUGUCUUUGAAAGUUUGAUUAUGACAUUUUUAUGUGUGGAUCUCCAUGAUUUUAUCUUACUUGAAAUUUGUUGAUUUUCUUGACUAUGUCAAUUAAUGUUUUCAUUGAAUUUUAAAAGUUUUCAGACAUUAUUAUUCAUCUUUUUUUAAUCUGUACAUUUAUUUGUCUAUCUCUUCUUCUGAGGCUUUCACUGGUAUGCUUGAUAGUGUCCCAUAGAUCUGCUGUUGAAACCUUUUAAUAAAUAUUUUAUUUUAAUUAUCGUAUUUUUCAACUCUAGAAUUUUUAUUUUAAACAUACUUUUUUACCUCUUUAUUGAUAUAUCUGGUGAGACUUUCUUUUAAUUGUUGUCAUGCUUUCUUUUAAUUCCUUAGAUGUGAUUUUCUUUUCUUCUGAACAUAUUUAUAAUAACUUAUUUAAAACAUUUGUCUGUUAAAUCCAAUAUCUAGGCUACCUCAGAGAUAGUUUCUCUUGAUGUAUUUUUUUCUUUGUGUGAGUCAUAAUUUUCUGUUUCUUGUGUCUCAUAAUAUUAAUGAAAAUUGUGCACUUAAAAUUACAUACUGUGGCAACUCUAGAAAUUUAAUCCCUCUGCCUCUUUCCCCAUAAUUGUUGCUAUUACUGUUUUUGUUGCUAAUGCUGUUGUUCUGAUUGUUUAGGAAUCUCUUGAACUAAUUCUGCAAUGUGUAUAUUUCUUACAGGGUGCAGCCGCUGAAGUUACUGCUUGGUUAGCUUGGUGGUCAGCUGAAGAUUUGUGAAAGAUUUUCUUAAAUACAUAAGGAGCUCUAUGUGUAUAUUUCAGCAUGCCUUAAACAUUUAUGCUAUUCACAAUUCUGUGUUGGCUUUUGUAUCUUGCCUGCAAAAGUCCUCAAGGUCGUUCAGAAUGAAAGAGUUGACCCCUUGCAUGUGGUUCCUGGCCAUGCACACAGCCCUACACAGAAGUUACCUUUUAGAUUCCUUGGAAAUUUUCAGGUUUUAAAAACCCUACUAUAGUUGUCUUCAGAUUUUUUUUUUUAAAUUUUUUGCCAGACCCUUCUUUGUCCUAACUUGUAUCACAGCCUCAGGGAACAGCAAUGUUUAUUAACUAUUCCUAAUGGUUUUUAGGAAAUUUUUUGAGGCUAGAACUUUUCUCAUAGAACAAGUUCUGAGUCAGAUUAAAUAAUGACAGCACUCUGUAAAGGGGGUUUUUCCAGGAAGCUGAAAAAGAGGUAAAAUAGUGAAAGUGUUCUGGAGGUGGGACUUUUUGGGAAGCUUCAAAUAUGCUCUGCCCUCUGUAGGCUGAAAAUCUCAUUUUUACAGCCACCAUUGUUGUAAGACUGCUCUUUUCAAGGCUACUGUGGAGCUGGGCAUGGGGAUUAGAUACUGGCUAAAUUAAAACAAAUAAACAAAAAAUCUUGCUAUUCUUGCUGAGAUUGAUUAUUUUUUCUUAAAUAAAUGUUCCUCAGAGUGUGGAAGUAUUUUCUUAAUUUUCAGAACUCUGAAAAAGUUGAUUUUGACAUGUUUCUGCUAGUUUUUUUUGGGGGGGGCAGAUAUAUUUAUGAAGAUCCUCACUCUACAUUCUUCACCU
rnacentral:lncRNA from 10 species